rnacentral:rRNA from 1 species
UACGUAGGGGGCAAGCGUUGUCCGGAUUUAUUGGGCGUAAAGAGCGUGUAGGCGGUUCGGUAGGUCCGUUGUGAAAACUCGAGGCUCAACCUCGAGACGCCGAUGGAAACCAUCUGACUAGAGUCCGGAAGAGGAGAGUGGAAUUCCUGGUGUAGCGGUGAAAUGCGCAGAUAUCAGGAAGAACACCCGUGGCUAAGGCGGCUCUCUAGUAUGGUACUGACGCUGAGACGCGAAAGCGUGGGGAGCGAACAGG